AGUGGUAUCAACGCAGAGUUUUAGUCACUCUUGAAGCGCAAGUUUUGUGUUUCUAUCAUAAAAUUAUGUUCUAGAGGUCCAACUCUUUGCAUUCACCAGCCAAAAAAAAAGUGGAAUUAGGACUGGGUUAUCAAUUAAAAUGUCGCACUGCCCCCCUGGAAAACCCGCAGAUAAAAAAGUAAGAGAUCAAUUUUGAACUCCUCCUGUCCUUAGUAGUUCUUAGUUUUCAAAAUGUUAUUUGCACACAACAAAGCAUUAGCCACCAUACAUCACAUGCUCUUCAAGGCUUUCAUCUUUCUUGUCAUCAAAAGUGUGUACUUAGUCGUCUUAAAUUAUAGUAAGAUGACAUGCAAAAAUAGUAGUGGACUAUUAGAGUCCAGAAAAUCUUCAUUUCUAAUGUGACUUUUUGUAGUCUUAACCUCUAAUGUUCAAUGGAUUAUGGCCUAUCAAACUGCAACAAGUCCAAGCCCUGUUGUUUCUUCAAGAUCCACAAAAUGCAUAAUUGUCGAGAAUCUUCUUUAAAUGUCAAAAGUUUGUUCCAAUACUUUUUGGCGACAAACGUAAUCUAGCAUGCUGAAUUGAGUAUUAAACGAAAAGUAAAAUGAAUAUAGACGUGCAACUACAAUGACCAUCAUUCAGUUAGGUACUUACAUUUUACAGUCUGUGCACUGUGAAUUAUUACCUGUCCCAUGAAAGCAAUAUAUUACACUGCAAAUUUUACAGGCCCGCAAAAUUCUCUUACUUUCAAGUUUUUACUCAUGAGAAAGCUUUAUUUUUCAGAACCGUUCUACUUCUCUUUAUAGGAAAAAUGCACUAGGAUAUUCUGAUGGAAAAUAGAACAGAUACAAAACUAUUGUAAGAUGAAUGAUGUGAAACAA